UUUUUUUUUUUUCCUUGGGACGCUUGUUUUCUCGGGGGGAAAAAAAAAUUCCUGCGCCCCAGAUCGUGUGAUGAAAGCUACCUCGGCUGCCGGAGGUUUCAAUAAAAACGUAUUGAGGGCUCCCCUGGUGACUCAGUGGUAGAGAACCCGCCUGCCAAUGCCGGAGACACAGGUUCCAUCCCUAGGCUUCCCAGGCGGCUCUGUGGUAAAGAAUUCCCCUGCAAUGCAGGAGAUGUGAGUUCAAUCCCUGAGUUGGGAAGAUUCCUUGGAGAAGGAAAUGGCAACCCAUCCAGUAUUCUUGCCUGGGAAAUCCCAUGAACAGAGGAGCCUGGUGGGCUACAGUCCAUGGGAUUGCAAAGAGUUGGACAUGACUUAACGGCUAAACAACAGCAGCAACAGUCUUCUCUUUGCUUCCCUAAGGAACACUCAGUAAGCACUGGAUCUGUGGCAGACUGGUUGCAGGAAGCUGAGGCUAGACCUCUGGGCAAAGACAAGAGCAAGAUGACCCUAAAUAGCCCGAGUGGUUUCAGGUGGUCAGAGUGAGGGAAAGGGAUGGGAGGAUGCAAAGCAGUCUUUGAAUAGCAGGUCUUUCAUUCGGGUGUUUGCUCAGGACUCAAGAAUUCUUCAGAAAGGUUGCAGGAAGAAGCUACUCCUCGGGGGAGUCCAAGAAAAAGAGCAAGGAGAGGGCAUCUGUUAGCCCGCUUCCUCCCAUUUCCCUUUCCCUUGGCCAAAGUUCACCCUAGGAAGACCUAAGUCCUCUGAUCUCCCAGGUGGCAGAAUCUGGCCACUCUGUGACCAUUUGGGAAAUUAACUUCACACCAUGUGGUGUGGCCACUUCAUUCAAAUCUGGAAGUGGGGAGUGACUCUAGUUGGUUUUGUCAAAGUAGGCUUUGCAGUACACCCUCAUCGCCUUGUGGUGGGUGCAAAAAGAAAGGAGAGGACGGGUAAUGGAGGGACGCUGAGAAGGCUAAAAACAUUUGUGUCUGUAACUGAGAAAAAGUUGUAUUUAAAUCUUUCUUAAAAUUAAUUUGUUUUGGAUUGUAGUUGCUUUACAAUUUUUUUUUCCUGCUGUAUGGCAAAAUGAAUCAGCUAUAAGUAUACAUAUAGCCCCUCUUUUUAAAUUUCCUUCCCAUUUAGGUCACCACAGAGCACCGAGUAGAGCUCCCUGUGCUAUACAUAUAGCAGGUUCUAUUUAGUUCUCAGUUUUAUACAUAGCAGUGUAUGUAUGUCAGUCCCAAUCUCCCAAUUCAUCCCAUCCCCUUCAUCCCUUAGUGUCCAUAUGUUUGUUCUCAAUGACUUUGUCUCUAUUUCUACUUUGCAAAUAAGAUCAUCUAUACCAUUUUUUGUGUAUGGAUGUACGAGUUGGACUCUAAAGAAAACUGAGCACUGAAAAAUUGAUGCUUUUGAACUGUGCUGUUGAAGACUCUUGAGAAUCCCUUGGACAGCAAGGAGAUCCAACUAGUCCAUCCUAAAGGAAAUUAGUCCUGAAUAUUCAUUGGAAGGACUGAUGCUGAAGCUGAAACCCCAAUACUUUGGCCACCUGAUAGGAAAAACUGACUCAUUUGAAAAGACCCUGAUGCUGGGAGAGAUUGAAGGUGGCAGGAGAAGGGGAUGACAGAGGACGAGAUGGUUGGAUGGCAUCACCGACUCAAUGGCCAUGAAUUUGAGUAGGCUCCAGGAGUUGGUGAUGGACAGAGAAGCCUGGCAUGCUGUGGUCCGUGGGGUGUAAAGAGUUGGACACGACUGAGGGACUGAACUGAACUGAAUACCAUUUUUCUAGAUUCCACAUAUAUGCAUUAGUAUACAAUAUGUUUUUCUUUCUUUCUUCACUUUGUCUGACAGUCUCUAGGUCCACCCAUGUCUCUACAAAGGACCCAAUUUCAUUCCUUUUUAUGUCUGAGUAGUCUUCCACUGUAUAUAUGUACCACAUCUUUAUCCAUUCCUCUGCUGGUGGACAUUUAGGCUUCUCCCAUGUCCUCCUGGCUGUUGUGAAUAGUGCUGCCAUGAACAUUGGGUUGCAAAACUUGUGUUUAAAUGUUGCUACAAAUUGUGAAUUGUGUUUUUAAGUGCAAGUGUUUUCAUAAAGGCACAGAAAACUAUUGGAAAGAGUAGGAAAUCAUUUCCUUGUGCUGCCAGAGAAAUCUAAACUUUAGACUUCCAGAUUAUAACUGUAGCAUCCCCAGCCCACCAGGUAGCAGCUUCUACCGUCUUGUUUUUUUUUUUUUCCACCCAAGUCAUACAUACUUACAUUUUACUCUUUAAAAGAAAAUGUAAACACAGCGUUGUGGGUGAAGGGAGUUGCAUUAGUGUGACACUUGGCUUUUUGGGGGGCCCUUUCUUAACUCUGCCCUGAACUGAAGGAGAGCAUGGUUUAAUUGGCAGAUUUGUGGGGAGUAAAGUGAGCUUGCUCAGCUCAUUCUUGUCCCCUUCCCUCUUUGGCACCAGCCAGCAUGAGGUCUGCUCUGGGAGCAGCUGACUCUCCCAUCCCCAUCAAGACAAGUGUACUUUAAUCAGAGUUGCUAGAUCCUAUUCUAGGACUUGGUGUCAGGAAGCUCUUCUCUCAUAGUAAACCGAAUCCUGCAACCCAACUUUAUCAGGAAUUAAGUGGUCAUUUGGUUUUCUUCUUCCAUUCUGUUAUCUCAUUUUUUAAUUUGCAUUGAACUCAGAAAAGGAGGAAGGGUGCUUUCUACUGGACCCUUCUUCAAUGUUCCCACGUUUGAGGCACUGACUAGAAAACUGCUAAGUGAGAAAUAAGAACAGUCAGGGAGAAGCAAAUGAAAACACGUGGAGUGAUCAAGGCUUCUGGAGUGGCUAAAGAUGGGUGUUGGUCCUGGGGUCUCGUUCUUGAGUGUGUGCAGGACAUCAUGAUUGUUUGUUUUAAUUGAACAUUGAUUUACAGUGUUCUGUUUCAUUACCUCUGUACAGCAAAAUGAUUCAGUUAUGCGCACACACCUUGGUCACCUGAUGUGAAGAGCCGACUCACUGGAAAAGACCCUUAUGCUGGGAAAGAUUGAAGGUGGUAUGAGAAGGAGGUGACAGAGGAUGAAAUGCUUGGACGGCAUCACUGACUCAAUGGACAUAAGUUUGAGCAAACUCCAGGAGACAGUGAAGGACAGGGAAGCCUGGAGUCCUGCAGUCCAUGGGGUCCCAAAGAGUCGGACCUGACUUAGCAACCGAACAACAGCAACAAAUAUGUAUACAUAUAUAUAUGUACAUAAGAUUUUUUAUAUGGGCCAUAUUUUUAAAGUCUUUAUUGAAUUUGUUACAAUAUUGCUUCUGUUUUAUGUUUUCCUUUUUUGCUGUGAGGCAUGUGGAAUCUUCACUCCUCUACGAGGGAUAGAACCCAAACUUCCUUCAUUGGAAGGCAAAGUCUUAACCACUGGACUGCCAGGGAAGUCCCUAUACAUUCUUUCUUUAUAUUCUUUUCCAUUGUGGUUUAUCACAGGAUACUGAAUAUAGUUCCCUGUGCUAUGCAGCAGGACCUUGUUGUUUUUCCAUUCCAUUUUCUCUCUCUCUCUCUCUCUAUAUAUAUAUAUAUAAAAGCUUACAUCUGCUAACCCUAACCUUCUCCGUCCUUCCCCCAGCCCCCUCACCCUUGGCAGUCACUAGUCUGUUCUCCAAGGACAUUUUGCUCUUGGCACUUUGUGUAGGCAUGUAUUGGACCAGGUCGUUGUUUUUUUUAUGAUGGUGCAGUUGGCUUUUAAGAGCUGUGGCUGGGGAAAAAGACCUUGGAAAAGCCACUCAGAGGUUGUAAGUGGCCUUGGCAGGGGCACAGGAACCAGGAGAGGAACUUAGCAGGGGCCAGCGAGCUGAAGAGGCCUUAAUAAGCAGUUACAGCUGGGGCAAGGAUUCAAUUAUAAAGAGAAAGAAACAGUCCCUUCAUACACUCUCCUUUUAGAUAUUAAAGGAGUGGGAAAAUAUUUGCCAUUUUUUAAACUGUGGGGCAGCUGGGUUCUCUCUGGACUACAGAGCAUUAGUGAGGGAUUAGUUUUCAGUGUGCUAGUGCUAGGCCUAGGUAGGAAAGAUAAACAAACAACUCUACUUUAAAUUCUGCUUUUAUGUUGUUUUGAACCAUCUUCAAGGGCAAAAGAGGGCAGGGUGGAUGGACCUAGUUUGAAUUCCUGUGGCCCAAGAAUUAUUCCCUCUAUUUUUGUCCUCAAGGCUACUAGAAACUAGUUAUUUAGAUACAAUAGAGAAAUCCUCCCCAGGUAAUGGUUUACCUAUGCAGUCACUCCGUCGUGUCUGACUCUUUGUGACCCCAUGGACUGUAGUGUGCCAGACUCUCUGUCCAUGGGAUUCUCCAGGCAAGAAUACUGGAGUGGGUUGCCAUGCCCUCCUCCAGGGGAGCUUCCCGACCCAGGGAUCAAACCUAUGUCUCUUACACCUCCUGCAUUGGCAGUUGGCAGGCGGAUCCUCUACCACUAGCACCACCUGGGUCCUUCUGUAUGUUCUACUAAAUCUAUCUUUAGGGAAAAAAGGUACAUCACAGACUCGGCUGGUAUUAUUAUUUUAUAACUGGGAGGUCCUGUAAGAACUAUCCCCAUUCCAAAGAGAUGCAGCUUAACACAUUAUUGACUGGGGGAUUUUUUGAAGAAACGAACACCUUUGUGUUUUUGGCUGGUAUUUGUUAUGUAAGUGAAUAUUGAAACAUUAAGGUAUUAAUACGUCUCUGGUCAAUGAGUUGUUAAAUUGCUAGAUGAUCUCUGACUCCACUCAGGCAUUGAAAUCCUCUCCAGCUGAGAGCAGAACAGCAAGAUGGGGGGGAUGAAUUUUGGACUUUAAUUUCUUUGAAUUUUAACUCAUAAAAGAAAGAAAGUUAUAUAUUGAGCUUUACUUUCUUUGAACUUUAAUAUCUCAUGAUUUUGAUCUCAUUUUUUGGAUGUUAAUUUCUUCCUAGAAAUUUAGUAAAGGGAAGAGGUUUAUGUUAAAAUUUUUUUCCCCUCAACAGAAAGACUAUGAAAAACAUGGUUAUAAGAAAAACUUUGAUGUUCUUAUUUUAUUGAGGUAUAAUUAACAUAUUAGUUUCAGAUGUACAACCUAAUGAUGUGAUACUUGUAGACAUUGUGAAAUGAACACCACAAUAAGUCUAGCUAACAUCCAUUGCCACAUGUAGUUGCAAAAUUUUUUUUCUUAUGAUGAAAAAAUUUAAGAUCUAUUCUCUUAGCAACUUUCAAAUAUGCAAUACAGUGUUAACUAUGGGUUUCCCUGGCAACUCAGUGGUAAAGAAUCCGCCUGAAAAUGCAGGAGACAUGAGUUCAAUCCCUGGAUCAAGAAGAUCCCCUGGAGAAGGCAACCCACUCCAGUAUUCUUGCCGGGGAAAUCCCACAGACAGAGGAGCCUGGCAGGCUACAGUCCAUGGGGUGGCAAAGGAAUUGGGUACAACCUAUCAACUAAACAGCAACAACAAUUAUUAACUAUAGUCACUGUGUCAUAUACACACCCUUAAGACUUAGCUUUGGAAGAUUGUAUCUUUGACUGUCUUCACCCAUUUUACUCAACCCCUACCUUGGCAACCACCAGGCUCUUCUGUCUAUAAAUUCAUUAAAAACAAUUCUACAUGUGAGUGAGAUCAUAUGGUGUUUGUCUGACUUAUUUCACUUAGCGUAAUAGUCUAUUUAUCUCCCACUUUAAAAAUUCAUUCAUCUGUUGGUGGACCCUUAGGUCGCUCCCAUGUCUUGGCUCUUGUCAAUAAUAUUGCAGUAAACAUGAAGUGCAUAUAUCUUUUCAGGUUAGUGUUUUGUUUCCUUCAGAUAAAUACCUGGAUGAAAUUCCUGGAUCAUAUGCUAGCUUUAUAUUUAAUUUUUUGAGGAACUUCCAUACUGUUUCCCACAGUGGCUGUACCAGUUUACAUUCAUACCAACAGUGAAUGCAUAAGGGUUCGAAUUCUUCUAUAUCCUCAUCAAUGCUUGUUGCUUCUUGUCUGUUUGGUAAAAGCUGUUCUAACAGGUGUGAGGUGAUAUUUCAUUGUGGUUUUGAUUGCAUUUCCCUGAUGAUUAUUUCCAAGUUUCCUUUUGCAUGUUAUUAUUUGACUAGUAUAAGUUUGUUAUUUAAUCUCAUUGAUAAUCCUCUGAUAUGCUAUAUGGACUACAUUGAUAGGCAUAAUAAAAAGUAACAGAAAAAUGAAUGAAAACUUAGCCUUGGAUACUGAAUGGCAUUAAACCAUUAAUUUAAUUAAUAGGGAACUAUUUUGGAACUCUUCAUGAGCAAAAUCUCUUUCCUACCAGUGUCCCUGGGAGCAAACAGUUGGCAUAAGAGGGCAAUGAAACUUCUGUCACAGACUGAAUAAUGGUUCCCAAACAUGUCCACUGGAGUAGGAAAUGGCUCCCCACUCCAGUCUCCUUGCCUGGGAAAUCCCAAGGGCAUAGGAGCCUGGUGGACUGGAGUCCAUGGGAUCGAAAGAGUCAGACACAACUUAGCGACUAAACAACAACAAAACAUGUCCACAUCCUGACCCCCACACCUGUGAAUAUGUUACCUUAUACAGCAAAAAAGGACAUUCUAGAUGUGCUUAAGUUAAGGAUCCUGAGGUAGGGAGGUUAUUCUGGGUUACCUGGUUAUCCCAAGGUAAUCACAGGGGUCCUUAUAAGAUAGAUGGGUACAAGAGGGCUCAGAGUGAGAGAAGAAGGUGAUGCGAUGACAGAAGCGCAGAUGGGAAUAAUGAGCUUUGGAGAUGGAGGAAGAAGCCAUGAGUCAAGAAAAAGAGGGGUCAUAGAAGCUGAAAAAGGCAAGAAAACAAAUUCUCCCCUGAGGGCCUCCACAAGGAGCCAGCCCAACCAACGCCUUGACUCUAGC
ensembl:lncRNA